CUCACAAGUGGGCGUGUCCACCUAGAUGGGUGCUGGAUAGUUCAGUCUACCAGCCUACCAGGUGGACUGCAGCAAACGUUCCACUUCUAUCCGUCAUACAUCUAGCGAGACACACUUGUGAUGUCAGAAGAGGCCGAUUAUCAAAACAGCUUAUCACGUUGGGGUCAAGUUCGCCGUGGACGGUAGCCAGAUUAAGACAGCAAUCCGAACGAAACUGAACAAUGAGGACAAAUUAUUGAAAAAGAGGAUGGGGAUUAAUAAACAACAAAAUGUGUUCGCUCCAAGCUCUAGCUUUGAGCACAACUCUGAACAGAAUGCCGAGGGGCAAAGCACUGAAAAUGAUUAAUCCCUCCAUAUUGAUAGGUCUAUUUUUUUGUGUCUUGUUCACAAGUAUUAAAUAGCAGAUAGCUAUGUAAGUAGAUGGUUUUUUGAUGGAUGCAUUUAGAAUUGAAAUAAUGGUAUUUAAUUAAUGUUUAGAUUAUAGUUCUUUAUAUAUUGAAUUUACAACUAAUUAUACAAUGUUAAAAUUGACAUGCUGUUAUUUUUAAGAAGGUUUCUGGUUGGAGGCCUGCUGGUCUGCAGACCAAAACCACCAUAGAUAUUGCAUUCGUUAGAACAACGUUAAAAUGCAGUUUUUGAAAUGAACUAUUUUUCCUAGCUAUUGGAAAAUGUAAACUCAUCAAUGGUACUGUAAUGGACAUCACUGUGGACAGAGUAUUUAGUAGUUUUGAUUAUUGCUAGAUUUUAUCUACUCAAUACAAUAAAUUAUCAGUCAAGUUUAUGUAACUUAUAGAAAUGUGAUAAACAAUAGAGGGCUAUCUAUGUUUUCUAGCCACAUGGGCAUUGCAUAUAGACGGGUAGUACUGUGUUGCUGGAACGAUUAAAUGUCGGUACAAAUAAUGUGUUUGGAAAUGUGUUUUGGUGCUUCCUCUGUCACACUGUAUGCACAUUCGGUCUGUCUGGCUAUCUCAAGGUCCAAUAAACAGGUAAUAUAUUUAUAUUCUAUCAACAA
ensembl:lncRNA